UACGUAGGGGGCAAGCGUUAUCCGGAUUUACUGGGUGUAAAGGGAGCGCAGACGGCCGCGCAAGUCCGGAGUGAAAGCCCGGGGCCCAACCCCGGGACUGCUCUGGAAACUGUAAGGCUGGAGUGCCGGAGAGGUAAGCGGAAUUCCUAGUGUAGCGGUGAAAUGCGUAGAUAUUAGGAGGAACACCAGUGGCGAAGGCGGCUUACUGGACGGCAACUGACGUUGAGGCUCGAAAGCGUGGGGAGCAAACA
rnacentral:rRNA from 1 species